AGAUUUUAUCUUCAGAACGCCCAUCACUUUGGCCAAACACGGAGAGACUCACGAGGAGCAUAAAAGCCACUUGCGAAAGCUGAGACAUGACAAAUGGCAAGAAGAGAAGAUGCCGGAGGAUUUGAUUCACAAGCUGAUGGCGGGGGACGACGCUGAAGUGGACAGGAAGAGGACGGAUGACCAGAAGAAAGAGGAAUCCCUGGUGGCCAGAGUGAGCCACGAAUGUUUUCCCGAGUGCCUGUCGGAUUCCGAAAACGAGGAACCCUUCCAGUGCCGGCCCGUCUAUCGGUCGGCUUUUGUCUCCAAGGGCAGCGCCUACUCGGUCGCCUUGCUGGCUGG